rnacentral:snRNA from 1 species
UUGCUUUGGCAGCAUAUAUACUAAAAUUGGAACAGUAUAGAGAUUAGCAUGGCCCCUGCACGAGGAUGACACAAAUUUGUGAUGUGUUCCAUAUUUUU